UACGUAGGGGGCAAGCGUUGUCCGGAAUCAUUGGGCGUAAAGCGCGUGUAGGCGGUUCAGUAAGUCUGCUGUGAAAGUCCAGGGCUCAACCCUGGGAUGCCGGUGGAUACUGCUGGGCUAGAGUACGGAAGAGGCGAGUGGAAUUCCCGGUGUAGCGGUGAAAUGCGCAGAUAUCGGGAGGAACACCUAUUGCGAAGGCAGCUCGCUGGGACGUUACUGACGCUGAGACGCGAAAGCGUGGGGAGCAAACAGG
rnacentral:rRNA from 1 species